GUUAACCGCCGCGUAGGCGGCUUAGAAA
rnacentral:other from 1 species